ACCAGACUCCUACGGGAGGCAGCAGUGGGGAAUAUUGCACAAUGGGGGAAACCCUGAUGCAGCGACGCCGCGUGAGCGAUGAAGUAUUUCGGUAUGUAAAGCUCUAUCAGCAGGGAAGAAGAUGACGGUACCUGACUAAGAAGCCCCGGCUAACUACGUGCCAGCAGCCGCGGUAAUACGUAGGGGGCAAGCGUUAUCCGGAUUUACUGGGUGUAAAGGGAGCGUAGACGGCGAUGCAAGCCAGAUGUGAAAGCCCGGGGCUCAACCCCGGGAUUGCAUUUGGAACUGUAAGGCUAGAGUGUCGGAGAGGCAGGCGGAAUUCCUAGUGUAGCGGUGAAAUGCGUAGAUAUUAGGAGGAGCACCGGCGGCGAAGGCGGCCUGCUGGGCCGCGACUGACGUUGAGGCUCGAAAGCGUGGGGAGCAAACAGGGUUAGAUACCCCAGUAUGA
rnacentral:rRNA from 1 species